GAUGAACGCUGGCGGCGUGCCUAAUACAUGCAAGUCGAGCGAACGGACGAGAAGCUUGCUUCUCUGAUGUUAGCGGCGGACGGGUGAGUAACACGUGGAGAACCUACCUAUAAGACUGGGACAACUUCGGGAAACGGGAGCUAAUACCGGAUGAUAUUUUGAAACGCAUGGUUUAAGAUUGAAAGACGGUCUUGCUGUCACUUAUAGAUGGAUCCGCGCUGUGUUAGCUAGUUGGUAAGGUAACGGCUUACCAAGGCAAAAAUACGUAGCCGACCGGGGAGGGUGGGCGGGCCCAAUGGGACUGAGACACGGCCCCAACUCCUACAGGAGGCAGCAGUAGGGGAACUUCGGCAAUGGGCGAAAGUCUCACCGAGCAAAGCCGCGUGAGUGAAGAAGGUUUUCGGAUCGUAAAACUCUGUUGUUAGAGGAGAAAGUUGGUGGGAGUGGAAAGCUCAUCAAGUGACGGUAACUAACCAGAAAGGCACGGCUAACUACGUG
rnacentral:rRNA from 1 species